UUGACAUCCAAAGAAUCUGUGAGAGAUGGUAGAGUGCCUUCGGGAACUUUGAGACAGGUGCUGCAUGGCGGUCGUCAGCUCGUGUUGUGAAAUGUUGGGUUAAGUCCCGUAACGAGCGCAACCCUCAUCCUUAGUUGCCAGCGGGUCAUGCCGGGAACUCUAAGGAGACUGCCGGUGAUAAACCGGAGGAAGGCGGGGAUGACGUCAAGUCAUCAUGGCCCUUAUGGGGUGGGCUACACACGUGCUACAAUGGCCGGUACAGAGGGCAGCGAACCGGCAACAGGGAGCCAAUCCCAGAAAGCCGGUCUUAGUCCGGAUUGGAGUCUGCAACUCGACUCCAUGAAGUCGGAAUCGCUAGUAAUCG
rnacentral:rRNA from 1 species